GACAAGAUGUAAAAAAAAAAAAAAAGGAGACUCAAAUCUGCAAUAUCUGUCCUGAGAUUGGGAUCCUGAGCCAUCAGGCUGAUAGAAGAGGAGAAUCUCACUUGGAAAGUCAAAAGAUAAAAUAAAAGACUUGAAUGUGGCCGAACUACAACUCCCAGUAGCUGAGGGCCAUCAUUCCCCAGCCCUUGAUUAAUUUAUAGUUCACAUUCUGAAAAUCUUCUUUAUAAGGAAGAUUCUGAAUAAGAAUGAAUUUGCAGUAACAGACCCUUUCAGCACCCUACCCCAGGCCACUCCGACCUGAAGCUAUGCAGGUGGACUGGAGUGCAAUUCCCACCUCCCUCUGCAAACCCAAUGUUAGGCUGCAUGGUAGAAAGAAUAUUCUUGCCAUUUGCUUUUUCUGAAGUUUUUCAUUUGAUAAAGGCUUCCCAUUUUCUUGAAAAAUAGAGGUCUAAAGAUAAUGCUGUAGGGUCACCUUUCUAUAGGAUGAAAGAGGAUUCCGUAGCCUUUCAUACCUUUGCGAUGGCAAGCAGAUUAUAAUGGAAACAAACUCUUGCAAGUAGCCAAAUCUUGAUUCCCCUACGACAACAAUACUCAAUAAUCUGCCAGUUGUCUCUAUUGCAGUCUGCAUUUGUUCAAAUUCAAAUUGGAACUAUCUAGAGAUGUUUUCCAUUCCUUUCCCCAAAUGGAUGGGGGGCACAUUCUCCAUGUUGGAGCCUGAUUCAGACAUUUAGGAGACAUUAAACUCCUUGGAGGCCCAUUGAUGCUAACGGAGGCAGCCAAACUCAUAAGAAUAUUGAAUGUUCCUGUCUUUCUUCUUUAUUUGUGUAUAUGCAUGUAGAUUUAUGUUUAUAUGAUUCUGCCUUUUGGUUAAAAAAAUCAGCCAGAGCAAGAGGUGUAGAAUAGAAGUGGUCCCAAUGGACCAGUACAGAGAUAAGAGUGGCUGUUUCUUCUCCCACUGACCACGGUUGGCUGGAUUUCCCUGGCUUUCUGUUCACAUUUAUCAUUCAAGAACUGGCUCUUCUUUACAGCAAUUAAUCAUCUAACAACAACAGGGCAACUGUUGCUUUAAAUUCAUGGCUGGACAUUAACCAGCUCCAUCAAAAAAAUGUGCACAAGGAAGUCAGAAGAUUUCACCCUCUUUUUCAGUAGAUGUGGGCUGCAGGUCAUUUGCAAUAUUGUCUUAGGAACAUCUUUCCGUGAUCCAAGACCAGGAACCAAAACAAAUGGGGUGCACAGAUUGUGGAGUAAAGGUGGGGUUUAAAAGAGUGGAAAUCCAUGGAUGCUAGCUUGAUGACUGUAGUGUAGACAACUCCUUGUAGCACCAAUCACAUACCUUAAAUACCACUGACUGGGGAACAGUAGAAGUAGAAGAAAGUUGAAUGUUCUCCUGUCCAUGUUUGUGAGUUUUGCAGAUUCACCGGAUUGUCCAUUGUGCGGCUUAGAAUGCUGGAUUGAGGGCCCCUUACCUGGGUCCAGCAAGGCUCUGAUGUUCUUACAAAACACAGCACUUUCAAAGUUGAUCAUGAGUCACAGGAUCCUCUGGAAUCUGCUGAGCGUCUGAUGAAGAAAGUGAAGGCAUUUGGUUCAUUGGCGGGUCUUAAAGCAGAUAAACAAAAAACAAAAAUGUUAAUCAAAAAUAUGACCUUGCCUAAUCAGGAUCUGUUGAUGAGUAAGACGGGCUUCAGGACUGAAAAAAAGACUAUACCGAUUAUGACUACAGAUUUACCGUUUCAACAGUGGCAGACAGAUAUUUCGAAGUUUAUUUGGCAAGGCAAAAAACCAAGAAUGAAAUAUAAAUUGUUACAAGAUGCCAAGGAACGAGGAGG